CCCCGAGUAAACGACUCAACUGUUGCCAUGGAAUCCCGGCGCUGAAAUGAGGCCGUGUGGGUUGAGGCCUAUUGAAGUGAUCCGUGUCUGAGAGUCACUGCUGGGAGAACAAACAGAUGCUGUGGGGUGAAGAAAUAAACCCAGAAAAAGAAAAACAAUGCUUGCUGCAUCAUCUCCCUGCGUUUGAGAUGGCUUGUCUCAAUCACCCGCCGCUGAGAGGCUGCACUCGCUGCAGGAAGUGAAAAAUCCCCCUGCACAGAUGAGCUCAGGCAGAAAGAAGUAACAACAGACGAGUAAAAAAUCUUCCCCAUUAGCGCGGGGCAAUGAAUGACUCCGGCUCUCUCUGAGCUACACGAGAUAAGCACCUGUUGCACCUGUCACCUUUCAACUCAGGCAGCAUGACAUCUCUCCCUCCCGCCGCGCAGGACAAUAGUUCUCACUCCACCAUUCACACAAAAAUGAGCGGCUGACCAACUCCAUACGACUUGAAAAGGACUGGGAAUAAAAGAAAUGGUGCAAAACUAUGAUGUUAAACUCAUGCAGCCAUGCAGCUGGACACUUGCAACAAGAAGGAGUUAUGACGGAGAGAAAGAAAAUUUACGGGAUAAUCAAACAACAGGUAUUUCACUGUUAACAAACAAUAAAGCGCUUUGUAAAAUA